UAAAAAUAAAAACAUUUAAUUGAUAAAUAUAAAAUUUAUAAAAAAAAAAUUAAAUUAAUAACAGAAAUUAAAAACUACAUUAAAUUAAAAGUACAAAUUAAAAUAAAAUGAAAUAUAUAAAAAAAUAAAAAAAAAAAAUCUGAUACAAAUAAAAUUAAGAUAUAUAUAAAGCCAUAAAUGUUAAAUUGAAAAUCAUUGAUUACAUACAUUACUGUUUUCUACUGAAAACAACUUCAGCUGCUAAGUUCACUGGGUUAUGCUCAUCACGCCCGCGUAUAAGCCACCGAAAAUGCACACAAAUCGUCAGCUAACGAGUGUCAAGGUCACCAAUCAGCGCGAACCUGGAUAUGCAACUACUUGCCACACAUACAUACGCACAUUUAUUCAGAGUCAGCAACCUGCUGUCAUCCAAUCAUCAGCUACUCCAGCAGUUAUUCACAGCCAAUCAUUAGUGCGCUUAGAAACCUUCGAAAUGUCUGCUUUUUGCUACUUUUAUUGUGGCACGAUUUUCAUAUGGCUUUCCUUCCCCUCUAUGUUUGUACAUGUAUGUGUGUGUAUGUAUGCGCAAGUACUUCAUCAAUUUAAUGCAUUUGUAAUAAGCGAAUAAUGGCAUUGUAAUCGCUGUUAUUUACUAGUAAUCAGUAGAAAAGUUGUUUUCCAUUUCUAUUGGGGGGUUGAAAUUAUGUUCAAUUUAAAGGUGGAAGUGCUUAACGAGAUUCUGUAUUUAGUAGGAUUAUUAAAUGUGGAUUUAAUAUGCAUGUAUGUACAUACAUUAGGGUGUUAUUUUAUUUUUUAACUAUUAAUUUUCUUCAGUCCCGUCACGAAAUUUCCUUGGAAAUACCCCAAAAAAAAUCCCUGAAAAUUUUAGCCCUUAAUAUUAACAUUAAGAACUGGACCAAGACCUAUACAAAUUUUCCAUAGAAAAUACACUACAAUCGUGAGUUUUUAUCUCUAAAUUCCUACAGAUCAGAGGUAUUUUAGGGCAUCGCUUUGACUUUAGGCGCAUAUUUCUCAGAAUUGUUCACAAAGUCGUAACUCACACCGGCGAGGUAGUACGGGGCUCUAAACCCGAUUUUUCCAAGAAUUUCGCAAUUUUUUGUAUAUAUCUCGUAAAUGACAGGAGCUAUAGAAAAAAUGUACACGACAAAUUUGUAGAAAAUAUUAUUUGCUAUAAAAAAGGUCCGAGCUAUCAUUUAUACUUCUCGAGAUAUUCAGCUUUUUAAGUAAGGCUGUAUGCAAUUUUCAUAGAUUUUUUAAUACAUACCAUUAAAAAAAUAAAAAAAAAAAAAAUUAAAAAAAAAAAAAAAAAAAUUAAAAAAAAAUUAAAAAAAAAAUUAAAAAAAAAUUAAAAAAAAAAUUAAAAAAAAAAUAAAAAAAAAAAAAAAAAAAAAAUUAAAAAAAAAAUUAAAAAAUAAAAAAAAUUAAAUAAAAAAAUAAAAUAUUAAAAAAUGUAAAAUUAAAAACAAAAAAAAUUAAAUAAAAAUUAAAAAAAUAAAACAAAAAAUUUAAAACAAGAAAUAAAAAUAAUAAUACAAAUUAAAAAAAAAAAAAAAAAAAAUUAAAACAAUAAAUAAAAAAAUUAAAAAAAAAAAUAAUAAAAAUAAUAAUAUAAAAAAAUAUAUAAACACAUAAAAAGUAGCAAAAAAUUAAAAAAAACUCUAAAAAAUUAACAGUUUAAAAAAAUAUUAAAAAAUAAAAAUUAAAAAAAACAGUCAAAAAUAAUGAAAAGCAAAAAAAUGUUUAAAAAAAAAUAAUAAAAAAAAAUUAGUAAUUUUAACAGGACAAAAAAAAUAUUAUAAAUUAGGCAAUACUAAAAAAAUUCCGUGAGGAAACAGUUUAAAAAUUAAAAAGGAAAUUAUGAUUCUUUUAAUAUAAAUAUAAAAUUAAAAACAAAAAAAAUAGAAAUAAUGAAAAAAUAUAAUAAAAGUUAAUAAAAAUUUAAAUAAUUCGAAACAAAUAAAAAUACCAAUAGCAAUAAUCAUAAAAAAGUAAUGUAGAAACAAAUAAGUAAUACUAUAAAGUAGGAUAAAAAAAAAUUAAUUGUUAUAAACUACGAAAUACUAAAAAAUUUCCAAAUUAAAAAAUAGUAGUAAUUAAAUUAGAAAACAAGUAAGAACGGUCUAAGCCGGCUUGCCAGGAUCAAAGCCAGAGAAAUACGUUCAGGUACAUAAGGCUUGUUAGUUUUGUGAGGUCUUUAGCAAGUUUUCACCCCAUAUUUUUCAAUCUGAGCACAAAAAUGCACCGUUGUCAGAAAAAGACGUUUUCUUAAUUUUAUGAACAAAACUCACACAUUUGCCAUUAUAUGCGGUAUUAAUUCAACUGCAAGUUCGAGUUAUUAGGUAUGUGUGGCUAAAGAAAUUAUUUAUCCGUUUCAACUUAUUGUUGACAAACAGGCAUACUAUUAUUAGGAAAGAGUUCUCUGCAAAUGUCUAUAAUAUAUCUCACAGAUUGUCCAAAAUUUUCGUUAAAAAGUUCGCAAUUGGAACUUUGAUACACUUUUCGAUAUCUAUAGAUUGAAUAAUUUUGGUCCGAUUUCGGGCAAAGAUUUUUUUUUUAUCCCGAUACGUUUAUUUGUGCUUCAUUUGCAUUCUGGAAAUUGAAUGAAAUGAAGAAUCAGAUAGAAUUGGAUUAUAUGGAACUAGACAAAUUAUUAUAGCUUGAAUGGUUUAGGUGAUAUGUACAUUAAACCACUUAGACGCGCCGUCCCAUUUUUCAAAAAUUUCAGUCCACUGAAGUCCAAAUUUUAAAGAAAUUAAAUAAAAAAUAUUUACUUAGGUUAUCAUUGAUUAUCCAAUACUUACAUACAUAUUAUAAUAACGUCUUAUUGCCUAAAAGUAUGCCAUAAUGCUUACUUGUUUGCUUAAGUUGAGAUAUAUAACCAAAUCAUCACUUCUCUAUGAAUAUGACGCAAAUGACAACUGCGAUGUACAUGACUAUGAAAUAGAAUGGUCUAAACGCUCAAAAGUAUGCUAAUUUUUUCUAGUUAUUAACAUAUGAAUGACCGCCUAGAACUCAUUAAGCGCACAUUUUGCGUAUUUUCGUAUAACAUUUACUUAUUCUUAUACCUAAUCGAUUUCUUUUGAAAGGAUAACAGGAAGUGUACACAUACAUAUAUAUGUAUAUGUAUAUGUAUAUAAUACAUAAUUUAAAGACACGCAUUUCAGCUAUUCCCACUUUUAUUUCACUUCCGUUUCUAAUUUAAAAGAAAUACGAAAAAGUCAGUCGGAAUUCCAGCUCCGUAAUCUUUGCACAGAAACAGCCGUUGUCUCAUGCAAAUGAAGACAAUGAAAACGUUAGCAUAGGCGGAGACGUUUUUCGCUCGACUAUCCUCGGUCUUUGCUGGCUGCCAGACAGCGCCCAUUUCGCCUAGAUAUAUAUGUACAUAAGAAGCAUAUGUACAUCAGUUGCAUACUGAACUUAUGUAACCAAGCUACCUUGAAUUGUGUGGGCGUGCUGACCUUGAGCAUAUCUUUUUUUCAACUUUUUUUCUCUUGUCUUUCUUUCAACGUCUGCGGUACAGAGGUAAGCGUAGUUAGCGCAAGGCUAGCAUUUUCGUUCAUUCUACUUGUAGUACUUUCCCUUUCCUGUCAUUAAUUGCUAGCUAGUUAAAAGGUUUGGCUGCAAAUAAUAUAGCUGAUGCCUUGUUAAGUAAAAUUUCGUAAGUUUUCUUUCGUGUUUUUUUGCUCAAAAAAUUACAGGGUGUGCACUUGACUGCUUGCUUAUAAUAUUUGGGAUAUGCCUGUUAUUAGCUUUCAGCGCGCCUGAAUGUAUGCUUUGCAGUUAUUGUUGGCUUAUUUGAGAAGGCGGGUAAGUUCUGCUACGUUGCCUAAUAAAAACCGUAUGAGCUGAAACUUAGCAAAUAGCGCGUUUGUGCAUUUAAAUUGAUGGCAAAUACAUUUGGAGGUCAUUUAUAUUCAUAUAUUUUCUAACACCUAAAAUUAUGUUACCAAUUUUAGGAACUGUGAAAAUUUUCUAAAGCCUUAAAAUGUUUUCAGGAAUAUUGAAAUAAAAAUUUGUAUGACAAAUUUUUUAAUUAUUUCUUUUAUUAUAUUCGGCCAUAAAAUGUUAUAACGCAUAAAAUUAUGCAAUGAAAAUAAUAAAAAUAAUCAACAAAGUUUGCAUAAAUAUGUUUAAAAAUCUUCAAAAAGUUCUUUGAACGGCGUUUUAGUUAUGCAAUUUUUUUUCAAUGUGCCUGGCGCCUUUAAGUAGACUAGAUAAAAUUUGUAUUUUUAUUAAGCGACUGAAUUAACUUUUAGAAAUCUACUAAAAUAUUAAACUAAUUCCAUAUCAAUCUACAAAAAUAUUAUACUUAAUAAUAUGAAUAAAAAAAGUUGUAAAAUCGCCUAAAAGUAUGCAACAUUGUUUGCAUAGUGGUAAAAAAUUUAACGGAUUUACGUUUUUCGUUUACUUGAGGUAUGCCAUUGUUAUAUCUACCAACUGUUCAACUUCCGCUACAGCGCCUUAAAAUAUACUAUGCAUUUACUUAAUAAAAAUUUAAUAGCUGGCUUACAAUACCCGAAAAAGUUUGCAUAACAAUUUUAAUAUUUUGCAAACAGUUCUUUGAACGGAAUUAGAUACAUGAAAAAGUUAUUUUAUAAUUUUUUAGAGCCUUAAAGUAUACUAAAUCAAUUUUAAGUUCCCAUAAGUCACUAAAUUUACUUUAGAAAUCCAUCAAAUAUUAAAUGCCUUCAUUGCAAUCCACAAAAAAAAUUAAACUUAAUAUAUAAGAGUAAGCAAUACUGCGGUAACGCCUAAAAUUAUGCAAAUAAUUUUUAAAAUUGCAGAAAAAAUUAACAGAUACACUUUUUUCAUUUAUUUGUAAUUGUUAUUUAUUGUUCAUCUGCUGUUACAGCGCCUUAAAUUAUACUACUUAUUAUACUUCUUAAUACAAAUUUAAUAGGUGACUUAAAAUAUUGAACAAAGUUUUAAUAACAAUCAACUUCUGUUACCAAAAUAUUAUUUCUUUGCUUUCUAGCGCCUAAAAGUAUAUUACAUAAAUUUGUAAUAUCUAUAUGACAUAUAUACAUAUGUUUACUGCAAAAUGUUUUAGAAAUCCUCAAAAUAUUAAAUGUCAUCAUUGCAAUCCAUAAAAAUAUUUUAUUUGAUAGAUAAGAGCAUGAAAAACUGCAAUUACGCCUAAAAUUAUGCAACAUAUUUUUUAAAAUGACAGAAAAUUUAAAUAGAUGCACUUUUUUCGUUUAUUUGUAAUUGUUAUAUAUGUAUAUCGACUGUUCAACUUUUGCUACAGUGCCUUGAAGUAUACUAUGUAUUUACUUUAUGAAAAUACGCAAUACUGGAUUGUUAUACAGUUUUGCACACUUUUCUGCUGUAAAAUAAUUGAGCGCUCAAGAAAAUCGCUAUGAAAAUCUUAUAUAUGCAAAAAGUAGUGCGUAAGGUAAGGAAAAUAUAUUUUUUGCCUAGAAGUAUGCACAAAAAGAGCGCGCAGUCGCAGCAGCAUAAUAUUUUCCAAUUAUUUUCCGGCACAUAUGGCAUGCUAUAUUAUUUUUUGCCUUAUAAUCAUGAGCAUAGACUACUAGUUUGUGGGACAGCAGCACUCAGACACAUAAAGUAUAUAUAUAAUGUCAUGCACACAAUUUUCUUAUGAAAAAAUAAUAAUGUAGAGUGUUUUUGCUUUUUUAACAGCGAAAAAUUUUUUGCAUAUAUUUUUGCCUGAGUGUAUUCGCACUACUUUCUUUGCACACAAGCAACUGUGCACGCACGUUCAAGCCUACUGUGUCUAUUACCUGUGCGUGACACGCAUACGUGUACUGAAUAUACCGUUACUCGGCUGACUGGUUAACGGGACACAAGGAUGCGCCAGCAAAAGCUGAAAAACUAACAAAGCCAA